GAGAGAGAGAGAGAAUGGUGAGACAAUGGAGAGAAAGGGUCAUUGGAGGAGGAGAAGUUGGAUGUGCUGCUGGUUGUGCUGCUGGUUGUGGUGGCUGAGUACGUACUCAGUAACAAACCCUACCUUGUUCUCCAAACAACCACUAAAAGAAAACUCUAUAAUUCCAUCCAAGUAGCCAUAACAUUGGUUUGGAGAGUGGAUCUCGAAUCAGUUUGAAGAUUGCUCCCUUCUCAAAAUCUGAGUGUCAAAAGUUCAAAUCAAGAGAAUAAAAGCAUAGGAGUUUCCUGCAUAUUUCUGUUUGAUGUUUUAGGGUAGAUUAUGUUUGAUAUAUUAUUGUUACUUGAAUAGGUUAAUUAGUUCAAGUUUUAACUGAUGAAAGCCUUCAUCCUUCACUCA